rnacentral:rRNA from 1 species
GACGUAGGAUGCAAGCGUUGUCCGGAUUUAUUGGGCGUAAAGAGUUCGUAGGUGGUUUGUUAAGUCUGAUGUUAAAGACUGGGGCUCAACCUCGGGACUGCAUUGGAUACUGGCAGACUUGAGUGCGGUAGAGGCAAGUGGAAUUCCAGGUGUAGCGGUGAAAUGCGUAGAUAUCUGGAAGAACACCGGUGGCGCAAGCGACUUGCUGGGCCGUAACUGACACUGAGGAACGAA